rnacentral:rRNA from 1 species
CCUUGCGCUAUGAGAUGAGCCGAAGUCGGAUUAGCUAGUUGGUGAGGUAAAGGCUCACCAAGGCGACGAUCCGUAGCUGGUCUGAGAGGACGACCAGCCACACUGGGACUGAGACACGGCCCAGACUCCUACGGGAGGCAGCAGUGGGGAAUAUUGGACAAUGGGGGCAACCCUGAUCCAGCGACGCCGCGUGUGUGAAGAAGGCCUGCGGGUUGUAAAGCACUUUUAGUGGGGAUGAAAAGCCAAGGGUUAAUACCCUUUGGUCUUGACCUAACCCAAAGAAAAAGCACCGGCUAACUCUGUGCCAGCAGCCGCGGUAAUACAGAGGGUGCAAGCGUUAAUCGGAAUUACUGGGCGUAAAGCGUGCGCAGUCGGUUAUCUAAGUCGGAUGUGAAAUCCCCGGGCUCAACCUGGGAAUUGCAUUCGAUACUGGAUAGCUAGAGUUCGGCAGAGGGAAGCGGAAUUUCGGGUGUAGCGGUGAAAUGCGUAGAUAUCCGAAGGAACAUCAGUGGCG